UACAGAGGUCUCAAGCGUUGUUCGGAUUCAUUGGGCGUAAAGGGUGCGUAGGUGGCGCUGUAAGUCGGGUGUGAAAUUUCGGAGCUUAACUCCGAAACUGCAUUCGAUACUGCCGUGCUUGAGGACUGGAGAGGAGACUGGAAUUCUCGGUGUAGCAGUGAAAUGCGUAGAUAUCGAGAGGAACACCGGUGGCGAAGGCGAGUCCCUGGACAACACCUGACACUGAGGCACGAAAGCUAGGGGAGCAAACAGG
rnacentral:rRNA from 1 species